UACGGAGGGGGCGAGCGUUAUUCGGAAUUAUUGGGCGUAAAGGGCGCGUAGGCGGCUUCGCAAGUCAAGGGUGAAAUCCCUCGGCUCAACCGAGGAAUUGCCCUUGAAACUGCGUGGCUUGAGGCCGGGAGGGGGCGGUGGAAUUCCCAGUGUAGCGGUGAAAUGCGUAGAGAUUGGGAGGAACACCAGUGGCGAAGGCGGCCGCCUGGACCGGUUCUGACGCUGAUGCGCGAAAGCGUGGGUAGCAAACAGG
rnacentral:misc_RNA from 1 species